AGCUCCAAUAGCGUAUAUUAAAGUUGCUGCAGUUAAAAAGCUCGUAGUUGCAUUUCCGAGGCAAGGGAUUAGUCCGACCUUUGGUGGGUAUUUAAUCCUCUUGCCUCGUCCUUGAGUGGUGCUUCUUGGUAUUAAGUUAUCGAGGAGAUAGCCGCUCAUCGUUUACUGUGAGAAAAUUAGAGUGUUCAAAGCAGGCUUAUGCCGUUGAAUAUAUUAGCAUGGAAUAAUAAGAUAGGAACUCGGUACUAUUUUGUUGGUUUGAGAACCAAGGUAAUGAUGAAUAGGGACAGUUGGGGGUAUUCGUAUUCAGUUGUCAGAGGUGAAAUUCUUAGAUUUACGGAAGACGAACUACUGCGAAAGCAUUUACCAAGGAUGUUGUCA
rnacentral:rRNA from 1 species